rnacentral:rRNA from 1 species
AAAGUGGUACGCGAGCUGGGUUUAGAACGUCGUGAGACAGUUCGGUCCCUAUCUGCCGUGGGCGUUGGAAACUUGAGAGGAGCUGCUCCUAGUACGAGAGGACCGGAGUGGACGCACCACUGGUGUUCGGGUUGUCAUGCCAAUGGCAUUGCCCGGUAGCUACGUGCGGAACUGAUAACCGCUGAAAGCAUCUAAGCGGGAAGCAGGCCUCAAGAUGAGGUUUCCCUGGGCACUUGAUGCCCCUAAAGGGUCGUUGUAGACCACAACGUUGAUAGGCAGGGUGUGGAAGCGCAGUAAUGUGUGAAGCUAACCUGUACUAAUUGCCCGUGCGGCUUAACCAU